rnacentral:lncRNA from 1 species
UAUACUCACUAGCCAGGACACAUCAUAAGACAAGAAAGAGAAAAUCUGAAACCUGUCAUGGAUUAUUUGGCUAAGGCGUAUCAACUGCCACAACAACGGGUAUAGAAGAAAGGAAGCGUGAUGGAAGGAAAGGACUGGAUGAAUCAGAAAUCUGCAUUAGGGGAAAAUGCUGGUCUAACCUCGGUUUUGUUGUAAUACUUGCCAUUCUUUCCUUUUUGACAAGUAUAAAGGUAAUUAUUGUUCUGGUGCCUAUACAAGAACUAUUUAGCUUAUCAUUGUCUUGACUCAUUCAACACAUGUUUCUAAUCUCUGUUACCACCGAAGUCCUCAGUUGAAUUUCUAUGAUUUUACAAUUUUGCAUAUGUGCUGUAGUCUAGAAAUCCCAAGAAGAAAAAUAUAGGAGAUGUGUGAAUUUCUUCAGAAAAACAUUUAGAAAUAAGAACCUCAACAUUAAUAUUUAUUUUUCACUAAACUAAACAUGAAUCUAGAUUUAGGGAUGGUUCACAGCUC